rnacentral:rRNA from 1 species
UACAGAGGUGGCAAGCGUUGUUCGGAAUUACUGGGCGUAAAGGGCGCGUAGGCGGCUUGGUCAGUCCCGUGUGAAAUCCCUCGGCUCAACUGAGGAACUGCACGGGAAACUGCCUGGCUUGAGUUCGGGAGAGGGAAGCGGAAUUCCGGGUGGUAGCGGUGAAAUGCGUAGAUAUCCGGAGGAACACCGGUGGCGAAGGCGGCCUUCUGGACAGUGACUGACGCUGAGACGCGAAAGCGUGGGGAGCAAACAGGG